GGCCUUCGGCCGCGCUUCAAAAAAAUAACCCUCAUCAGUCCAACUCCGGCUACGCAAUCCACAGUAUUUUUGCGUAGAACUCCUUUUCGCGUGAGCGGCCUUCGGCCGCGCUUCAAAAAAAUAACCCUCAUCAGCCCAACUCCGGCUACGCAAUGCACAGUAUUUUUGCGUAGAACUCCUUUUCGCGUUAAAACCAUUGAACCCAAAAUUAAAACGUCAUAUGCGUGUAUGUAGUAAGCAGGCACAAUAACCCCCAUUCCCAUCAUUAACACUAAACUCAAGUACUUAAUUUUUGUUUUCAUUUGCAGGCAUCCGGCAACACCAUACUGUUGUAAUUCCAAUCUUCUUCUUGUUCGCGCUUAAAAUUGGAAUGUGAUUGCAUAGGCAAAUGAAUUUGCAUUUAAUUUUAAUAGAUAUAAUUAGAAUAUUAGCAUAAAAAUCGGUAAAAACACGCGUGGGAGUGUAUAUUUGGUGAAUUUUAGUGAAAUGUUAAAAAAUAUAGUGUAAUGUGGCAAAUUAUAGUGAAGUUCCCGAGGGCAUUUUGAAUGUUACAUUAGGUUAGAAUGGCUGCCCUUGCGAGAGGCCCACCUGGACGAAUAAUCGUUACCAUACAGGCGUGGGAGCGUGAGGAAAUCAGAAGAAAAUAAGCACCAGACAGUUGAAAAAAGGAGCUUUGGAUUAGAUUAUGACGACCAACACUGGCUAAUUACGUUCGUAUUGCCCGCUUCAAGCUACAGAUGAAUUUAAACCCGCAAUAUCCGCAGGUGCAGCGAAAAAGUGAGAGCCCAGAUAUGUAAAUCAUUGUCGCCCGAGAGCAGGGUGCUUAGAUGAUUUCGCCCCGUUUUCCACACAGCUUCUACAAAAAGAACUUGAAGCAAUCCCAACUCACCGCAUAGACAACUAACGGACAAAGUCAGGUAAGGAUGCCUACCAAAUUCGAGAGCUGCGGCUUUGUUAACUUUAAAAGUACCCACGAGCAUCCCCGAUCCGCCCAUGGCCAAAAGGAUCUCGCGACUUUGCACAUUUACGCACUGUCCCAGCGCUCACUGAGUUGACGCGAGUAGCAGACGACAGGGGAACCCCAAUUCUUUCAUUUUGCGAUGCAACCGUCUACAGAGUCCCCUGUCUUGCCGGCUCAGCAGUUUCCCACUAUGCCGCUUUUAUCCCAAAUGGAAAUAAGUCAGGUAUCCCCUUCUAAUUUUAUAUGCACAAACGACGAGCUGAAGGCCGUAAAUUCCGCUUGACUGUCGGAGUAGAUAUUUACGUCAUUUAGUUUAAUUACAGAAGUCAGCGUUGAGCUCGAUGCCGAACUCCUCGUUUCCACGACGGUCGGUUGUACGUUACCGAAACAACCCGGAUUUAUAUACGGCCAAGGUCUGUCACCCCAGCAGCACUCCCCGUAUAAUGCACCCUCUUCCGUCCAACUUCGAGUCAUCCCUAACAUAUUGGCCAAGCCCUGACUCCAAUGCUGCAACCCGCCCAUUCCUCGCUUCCUCGCUUGAGGUAAUAUGAAUGGAAAAAAAC